rnacentral:misc_RNA from 1 species
GAAAUGCGAUAAGUAAUGUGAAUUGCAGAAUUCAGUGAAUCAUCGAAUCUUUGAAAGCACAUUGCGCCCGCCAGCACUCUGGCGGGCAUGCCUGUUCGAGCGUCAUUUCAACCCUCAGAACCCCUUGCGGGAUCUGGCGUUGGGGAUUGGCAUCCAGCCAGCCCCGAAAUCUAGUGGCGGUCCCUCCGCGACCUCCCCUGUGCAGUAGCGAUACCUCGCAGCGGGACAGCGGUCUGACCACGCCGUAAAACCCCCAACUUCUCAAGGUUGACCUCGAAUCAGGUAGGAAUACCCGCUUAACUUAAGC